UACGUAGGGGGCAAGCGUUGUCCGGAUUCAUUGGGCGUAAAGCGCGUGUAGGCGGCCAGGUAGGUCUGGUGUGAAAACUCGAGGCUCAACCUCGAGAGGUCAUCGGAAACCAUCUGGCUAGAGUCCGGAAGAGGAGAGUGGAAUUCCCGGUGUAGCGGUGAAAUGCGCAGAUAUCGGGAAGAACACCUAUGGCGAAGGCAGCUCGCUGGGACGUUACUGACGCUGAGACGCGAAAGCGUGGGGAGCAAACAGG
rnacentral:rRNA from 1 species